rnacentral:rRNA from 1 species
AACGAACGCUGGCGGCAGGCUUAACACAUGCAAGUCGAGCGCCCCACAAGGGGAGCGGCAGACGGGUGAGUAACGCGUGGGAACGUACCUUUUGGUUCGGAACAACUCCGGGAAACUGGAGCUAAUACCGGAUAAGCCCUAACGGGGAAAGAUUUAUCGCCGAAAGAUCGGCCCGCGUCUGAUUAGCUAGUUGGUGAGGUAACGGCUCACCAAGGCAACGAUCAGUAGCUGGUCUGAGAGGAUGAUCAGCCACACUGGGACUGAGACACGGCCCAGACUCCUACGGGAGGCAGCAGUGGGGAAUAUUGGACAAUGGGCGCAAGCCUGAUCCAGCCAUGCCGCGUGAGUGAUGAAGGCCUUAGGGUUGUAAAGCUCUUUUGUCCGGGAAGAUAAUGACUGUACCGGAAGAAUAAGCCCCGGCUAACUUCGUG